rnacentral:lncRNA from 1 species
AAAAAGCCGAGGGGGAGGAGCGGCGCGGCCGUAAGCGAGGGCAGCCAAGUUUGGCUACAGCACGCGCGGCUUCGCUCCUGCCUCUGGGGAGGAGAGAGGGGACAGUCCCCUCCCGAGCUGGGCUCGGACCUUGGCCCCCAGAGCCGCCGCAGACCUCCAGGGGUGACUUCGUCGCUCCCUAUUCUGGACUCGCUGGGUCCCGGGUGCACCGGAGUCGCGCAGCGAACGCGCCAUGCAGGAGGGCGACAUCGGCCUGGAGGGGCUGCCCCCCAAGGAAGUCCCCACAG